UAUUAAUUUGGCUUUGGUUAUUAUAUAAGCUAUUAUUAAAGUUAUAUAUGUUAGGUUUGUGAUUAAGCGAAUUAUCUUUAAUUAUUAUCAUUUAUUGUGUUUAAAAUACUAUAAAUAAUAAUAUAAGUUAUUAAUUUAAAAUUAUAUAAUUUUUAAAGAUUACGCAGUAUUUAUUAUUAUACAAUAAAUGAGAGUUUGAUAUAGUUAUUAUUAAGAAGAGUGGAUAAAUUUGUGCCAGCAUCCGCGGUUAUACAAAUAUUCUAAGUUUAUAUAUAAUAGUAUAAAAUAAAGUAGAUAUAUUAUUAGUAGAAUGAUAUUGAGGAUAAUAAUUAAAAGUAAAAUUUAAAUAUUAUUAUUAUUAAUUUAAUUUUUCUAGAAUUAAAACUUUGAAAAUAUGGAGAUAAACUAGGAUUAGAUACCCUACUAUUCAUUAAUUUAAAUUUUUUUUUAUUUAAGUAGUGAGUGUUGUUAUUAUAGACAUUUAUUUUUAGAAACUUAAAAAGCUUGGCGGUACUAUAUAUCCUUUUAGGGGAGCUUGUUUAUUAAUUUGAUAAUCCUCAAUUGAUACUUACUCUUUCUUGAAUUAUUCAGCUUGUGUAUUGCUGUCGGCAGCUUAUUUCGUAAGAUUUUAAAAGCUUAGGAAUAUUUUAUAUUUAUAAGUCAAGUCAGAAUGCAGCUUAUGAAGGAGGUUAAAAUGAGCUACAAUUUAUAAUAUUUAAAUUGAAUUAAGUUAUGUAAAAACUUAUGAAACUGGACUUGAUAGUAAUGUAGUUAAUAGUAUGUCUACAUGAAUUUGGUUUUAUAGUGUGUACAUAUCGCCCGUCGCUCUUGUUGGAAAAAUAAGAUAAGUCGUAACAUAGUAGGGGUAGUGGAAACUGUUCCUAAAGUAAA
rnacentral:ncRNA from 1 species